CCCCCACAACGAAGUUGAUUUUAUGUUACAUUAUUGUAGUUCGCUAACUACGUAGUUAUUGUAGUUCGCUAACUACGUAGUUAUUGUAGUUCGCUAACUACGUAGUUAGGGAACGCGCCUGCUUAAACUAUAAAAUACCUUAUAACGCUAGCGACGUGAAUUUGGCUGAAGGACGAUGUUGUGCUAACGCUUUUGUGACGAAAAAUAAGGGCCAUGUUAUUUAUACAUGGCCGAAGGCCUGUUAUUGUACAACGUAGUUUCUUCCCCGAAGAAGACGAAGAGCCUCGACCUGACCUUUAGCCGGUUUGUAGUUUAAUGCAAUUAAACUACAAACCGGCUAGUUUGUAGCUUAAGUAACUCAAACGCGUCCUUUGCUCCCUGUUUUAACUCCCACUGCCUUAGGCCGGAUCGUUGUAUAUGCCGAAGUUCACUUAUGUUUGUUGUCCCCCUUCGUCCCCCUUCGGGGAAGUAAGACAACGAAGACCUAAGUAUUGUGACCAAGCCACAAGAACCCGUGUAUCCGACCUACGGCCGGGUUUAUUACGUACCUUAGUGUAAGGUACCUUAACGUGCGCUAAAUUACGUUUGGAGCUCCGCUCCUCACCGAGAGCUAGUUCUAGCAUCAAUUUCUUGCAUACCCUAAUAGGCCUAGUUUUUUUUCUUUGAGAGCGCUGCUAUCUAGAUACGCGUGACANAAACCUGUCAGGUGCGAUACGUUGUGGUAUUACUUACUUUUUAGUUCCUUUUUGGGUAGGGCAUUUUAGUUGUUUAUCACAAANN
rnacentral:lncRNA from 1 species